GUAGGGGGCGAGCGUUGUCCGGAUUUAUUGGGCGUAAAGAGCUCGUAGGUGGUUCGGUAAGUCGGGUGUGAAAACUCUGGGCUCAACUCAGAGACGCCACCCGAUACUGCCGUGACUCGAGUCUGGUAGGGGAGUGUGGAAUUCCCAGUGUAGCGGUGAAAUGCGCAGAUAUUGGGAGGAACACCAGUGGCGAAGGCGGCACUCUGGGCCAGAACUGACACUGAGGAGCGAAAGCGUGGGUAGCGAACAGGAUUAGAUACCCUGGUAGUCCACGCCGUAAACGUUGGGCACUAGGUGUGGGUCUCAACCAACGGGAUCCGUGCCGCAGCUAACGCAUUAAGUGCCCCGCCUGGGGAGUACGGCCGCAAGGCUAAA
rnacentral:rRNA from 1 species